UUGCUUUUCUUGCUUGUCGCUGCUGGCUUUGAGCUGCGGGUAAAUGAGAGAAAGAAAGGAAGUUUGACAUUUGUACAGGGGAGAUGGACAUAUUUAGAUUCACCUCUGUACAGGGAGAUGGCCAUGUUUACUUGCUCGUCACACUGUCAGACUAAGGCUAGUCUCCCCUGUGCAUAAAAAUUUCAGAAAAAUGCUCAACCUGCUGAACUUGUAAAAUCCAUAACAAAAUCAUUCCAGUUUCUGUUUGGAGUAGUACUGAUAUGGAGUUGGAUGAUUUAAAUUGUAUUGUAGCAACAGAAAACAUGAACAUACUCAAUAUUAUUGCUUGGAAGUAAAAGAUCUUGUACUUUAACAACGCGUCUUCAGAUAUUGUAAAAAUUCUCAAGUUGCAUUCUAGGACUCCAAGAAAAUGUUGUUGCCAAUUUCAGUAGCUUCAUUUUCAUCUUACUGUACGACAUCACAUCCAUUUCAUGCUUUGUAACCAACAUGUACUUCCUGAAUAUUCUUAGCUUUGUUUGACAUGGUUAGGAGUUACUUGUUGUUCAUGAUCAUCAGGUAAUGACAUUAACUUGGAUUAAUUAAUAUGGAGACAAAUAAGUGAGUUGUGAGGGCCGUGGUUUGAUGCUAUGGUCGGGUUGGGGUUACCACCAGUCGCAUCUCUUAUAAUAGUCAAUACUGGCUCACUUUUUCACCUGUAUUCAGCUUCGUCCCUACUUAUGUUUGCGGACAUCGUCGAUGUCGGUGGCCGCGGCAAUGGACUAUGGCAAGUGUCCUCUGCCACAUCCCUGUCCACCCGCAUCACUACGACGCUAGGCCAUGCCUCACUAUUUAUAUUCUUUUUGCCCUUUUAUUGUGCCUCUGCUUCUGCUAUUUAUAUUUUGUUCAUUAUUGAUCAUGAAACAUGAUUCAACGUGCUCCCUCCUUAUAAAUUAUACAUGCAACAUGCAUAUUAGCCUCUAUUUCUUUCCUUAUAUUUCCCCGCUCCCUUAUUUCGUUUCAAAAUCCUCUUAAUUGGCCAUUAGCCCACUCUUUCAUUCUUUAGCCUCUCUUCCCUUCCAUAUUUCUCUAUCAUGAUCCCCGAGAUUGCUUCGUGAUACCCAGAAAAUUUAAAGACCUAUAUAAAUUGGGUAGAUUGUAUUUAGCGGAGCGAGGUGGGACCAUUUAUCAUAUGAAUCAAUCUUGUUUUCUACACACAACAUUAGCUAGCCCAGUUGGCUACGACAUUGUUUAUUGGCCUGGAGGUUGAGUUCAAUUCUGCUCAUCGUGAACUAUUUUUGAGACGAUUUGUUCGGGCCACCUGGAUAGUUGGCCCUGAUUUGUUCUUUUUUUCGUCUUGACUGCGGCUAUUUCUUUUAUUGUUGGAGAUGAGUGUACCUGAUCUAUCAACAUGGCGAUGUGAUUACUGUUACAUGGAUACUGAAAGUUCCACCAUAUUCAUUAUAUACCUGCAAAGUUACAGGAAGGAACAAGAAUAAUAAGCCAUAUCCAUCCAAGACUCAGGGCCUUCGUGGACCGGUGAGGAGAUGAUCUGCAACUAUACUACUGCGAACAACAAAAUGCUUGAUUAUCUCAGAUAUGGGAGAGUGGAUUGAAACAGGUUGCGGGCGAUGGUUAAGACGUGUCCUGGCCAGCCUUCCACGUAGCACCAUGGCAUGGGGGCAGCUGAGGAGACAACGGGAACAGGCUGCUUAAAUGGAAAACCAACAAAAUCAUUUACUUCUGCGCGUAGGUAGAGGAAAGGUAUUUGGUGGAGAAGAUGAAGAGAGAGACCGUCCUUCGGCUGGUGGAAGCUCAAAGGAAGCAAUACUGCAACAAAAAUCUCUGAAUGCAUUCCAAGCUUCUGUACGGCAUAUGCCGUUUCAAAGGGCAAACUGUCAUUUGUGCACUCGGCUACAUCUGAUGCCUGCGGAAUACCCAAGACCAUAUCUUCUUCAACCAUUUCUUCUCCUAGCUCCAGAAGCCUUUCCAAUGCGCCCUCAGCAGAGUGGGCUCAUAGAAAUGGAACAACGACUGUACUAUUGUGCCAGUCAUCUCUGUCAUCGCAGCCUGAUCACGCACUCGCAAAUAUAAACAGGUCGGCCAACAGGGGAGCUAGCCCUUCAGGUAGUGCUGGCAGCGAGAUCUCUUAGCAUGCUGAUACAACCCUGAAGACAAAUUCACACCCAAUCACACCAGUAGCGCAGCUCAGCAGCAGCAACAGUGGGGAUUCAAUUUACAAGAGCUUCCGAGAUAUCUCUAAUCUGCAGGCAGCAGUUUCAGAAACUGCAAUAGACCUGAGGCAUUCUCAUGACCAGGAUGAUCUGAAGCUUCAAAUUGAGUGAAGGUCAAACUGCGACAUCUUCAGAAGCUUCAUCCUGUUGUCUGUUGACUCCACCCAUAAAUUACCCAACAACUUGGGUAUCCGGCGUGUCGAGGAUGGAAUUAAGCUUAGAGAGAUUAACCUGACAGAAGAAAUAGUGAAGAGAUUGGUAAGACAAAUGGAAAGAGAAGAAGAGCAUGCAGCCGAAAGAGAAGCUCAACCUAAACAAAGCUCUUCUGAAGAGGACAGUAAUGAUGAGGGGCCAUUGUGAGGGUCGAGGCUGUAGGAGAAUGACGCCAAGGAAGAUGAGCAGGAGCGGAGGUGUGGAGGAAAACGAGAAGGAGUGUCUGCUAGAUUUCGAAGCCGCCAUCGUCACUGGCAACUGCGAGUAGCUCGUGGUGGAGUCAGUGAUCCGGCUGCGGUGGGAACGCCAUGGCCGUUGUGGCUACGAGGAGGUCGAGCUGGAACCCCACGGGCUUGGUCUGGAUCCAGCCACGGCGGGAAUGCAAUGGCCUCCCUUGUCGAUCUGGGGGAAGAGAAGGGAAGGGAGAGGAGGGGAGGGGAGAUCACCGGUACGGAGAGGGCAGAGUCCGGCGGCGGUAGGGGAGAGAUGUUGCCGGCGCGGGGAGAGCGCAGGCCAACGGGGGACGGUGUCGCCAGAUGCAGCCGGGGUCGAGGGGUAGACAGAAAGGAUCGCGGAUUGAGUUCUUAUAAAUGUAGGGGUUAAUUUGUAAACAACAGAACGUUUUCUCAGAUCCACUAAAAUAGGGAUUGCGGGUCCAAUUACCAAAAGUACAAGGACAUUCUUGUAAAAAAUCCGUGACGGACGACCAGAAACCAUCGGUGCUUUAUUAUUAUUAUUAUUAUAUUAUAUUAUUAUUA